AGUGAACGCUGGCGGUAGGCCUAACACAUGCAAGUCGAACGGCAGCACAGUAAGAGCUUGCUCUUACGGGUGGCGAGUGGCGGACGGGUGAGGAAUACAUCGGAAUCUACUUUUUCGUGGGGGAUAACGUAGGGAAACUUACGCUAAUACCGCAUACGACCUACGGGUGAAAGCAGGGGAUCUUCGGACCUUGCGCGAUUGAAUGAGCCGAUGUCGGAUUAGCUAGUUGGCGGGGUAAAGGCCCACCAAGGCGACGAUCCGUAGCUGGUCUGAGAGGAUGAUCAGCCACACUGGAACUGAGAAACGGUCCAGACUCCACGGGAGGCAGCAGUGGGGAAUAUUGGACAAUGGGCGCAAGCCUGAUCCAGCCAUACCGCGUGGGUGAAGAAGGCCUUCGGGUUGUAAAGCCCUUUUGUUGGGAAAGAAAAGCAGCAGGUUAAUACCCCGCUGUUCUGACGGUACCCAAAGAAUAAGCACCGGCUAACUUCGUG
rnacentral:rRNA from 1 species